GGGAGUUAGUUUAGUGUUAAAGCAUAGGAUUUGUAUGUCUGAGGCUACACAAAUGUAGGUUCAAUCCCUACCACUGCCA
rnacentral:tRNA from 1 species